GGUGUGCAAAGACAGAAAUAGGGUGGUCUAUGACCUCUAACCAACCAUCCUAGGAACUUUUAACUUUGCACUAUUGGGAAAAUUUUGGUGGAAGAACUUAACCGAUAGAAAACUGUUGUGCAAGAGUGUGCUAUGGUAAAUGUGCUUUAUGUGAAGAGAACCUCAUGGAACAAUUGAGAUAUAGGAACAUGAAGUUCUGUUAUUUUGAGAGGCCAUCUGAACUAUAAGAUGAAUUCACAAUUGAAGUUGUUGGAAAGAUGGCUAUCACUUGACCGAUUGUUACAGACCUCUGGUAACUAGAGCAGCUUAGGUUAAUGCAACAUUUUGGGGCAUUCAAUCGACUCACUAUUUUCAUUUCAGCUUGCUACUGAGACACCAAUUUUCCUUGAGCCUUGCCUUAUCAGUAUCUCUUUCAUCUGUCAACCCUAAUAAUAAUUUGACUUUUAAUUCAUAGUCAGCCCUCUUGUCCACCA
rnacentral:lncRNA from 1 species